AUUGAACGCUGGCGGCAGGCCUAACACAUGCAAGUCGAACGAGUGGCGGACGGGUGAGUAAUAUGUGGGAAACUGCCCGAUGGAGGGGGGUAACUACUGGAAACGGUAGCUAAAUCCCCCUACCAUCGGCUGUGCCCAGAUGGGAUUAGCUAGUGGGUGGGGUAACGGCUCACCCAGGCGACGAUCCCUAGCUGGUCUGAGAGGAUGACCAGCCACACUGGAACUGAGACACGGUCCAGACUCCUACGGGAGGCAGCAGUGGGGAAUAUUGCACAAUGGGCGCAAGCCUGAUGCAGCCAUGCCGCGUGUAUGAAGAAGGCCUUCGGGUUGUAAAGUACUUUCAGCGAGGAGGCGUUACUCGAAGAAGAAGCACCGGCUAACUCCGUGCCAGCAGCCGCGGUAAUUC
rnacentral:rRNA from 1 species